UACGUAGGGUGCAAGCGUUGUCCGGAAUUAUUGGGCGUAAAGAGCUCGUAGGCGGUUUGUUGCGUCGUCCGUGAAAACCUGCGGCUCAACUGCAGGCUGGCGGUCGAUACGGGCAGGCUGGAGUUCGGUAGGGGAGACUGGAAUUCCUGGUGUAGCGGUGAAAUGCGCAGAUAUCAGGAGGAACACCGGUGGCGAAGGCGGGUCUCUGGGCCGAUACUGACGCUGAGGAGCGAAAGCGUGGGGAGCGAACAGG
rnacentral:rRNA from 1 species